rnacentral:misc_RNA from 1 species
AACUUUUGGCAAUGGAUCUCUUGGUUCUGGCAUCGAUGUAGAACGCAGCGAAAUGCGCUAAGUAAUGUGAAUUGCAGAAUUCAGUGAAUCAUCGAAUCUUUGAACGCACAUUGCGCCCCCUGGUAUUCCGGGGGGCAUGCCUGUCCGAGCGUCAUUACAACCCUCAAGCCUAGCUUGGUGUUGGGCCCCGCCGCCCCGGCGGGCCCUAAAGUCAGUGGCGGUGCCGGCCGGCUCCGAGCGUAGUAAUUCUUCUCGCUCUGGAGGCCCGGGUGUGUGCCUGCCAGCAACCCCCAAUUUUUUAGGUUGACCUCGGAUCAGGUAGGGAUACCCGCUGAACUUAAGCAUAUCAAUAAGCGGAGGCU